rnacentral:rRNA from 1 species
GACGAACGCUGGCGGCGUGCCUAAUACAUGCAAGUCGAACGCUUCUUUCCUCUCGAGUGCUUGCACUCAAUUGGAAAGAGGAGUGGCGGACGGGUGAGUAACACGUGGGUAACCUACCCAUCAGAGGGGGAUAACACUUGGAAACAGGUGCUAAUACCGCAUAACAGUUUAUGCCGCAUGGCAUAAGAGUGAAAGGCGCUUUCGGGUGUCGCUGAUGGAUGGGCCCGCGGUGCAUUAGCUAGUUGGUGAGGUAACGGCUCACCAAGGCCACGAUGCAUAGCCGACCUGAGAGGGUGAUCGGCCACACUGGGACUGAGACACGGCCCAGACUCCUACGGGAGGCAGCAGUAGGGAAUCUUCGGCAAUGGACGAAAGUCUGACCGAGCAACGCCGCGUGAGUGAAGAAGGUUUUCGGAUCGUAAAACUCUGUUGUUAGAGAAGAACAAGGACGUUAGUAACUGAACGUCCCCUGACGGUAUCUAACCAGAAAGCCACGGCUAACUACGUG